UCCAAUGAAGCAUAUGUGACCACCAGAAGCAAAUAAGUAAAGCUGAAAACUAAAAUUUACAUGUAUGAACUGACAAACUAUUUGCAUAUGUGACUGAUUAACACGGGAUGGUGAGAGUGGAUAAGUUUGUGAAUCUCAAGUUUUAGAUCUGAAUAUGCAGAAGUGUAGAUUCUCAUGCUUGUUACUGUAGGCACAUUUUCAUCGGGAAGCAGUGAGGUAUCGACUGAGUUCAUUGCUUUUUUUCUUGCAUUACUGUUUCCUGGUGCUCUGGUGGCUUUGAAUCAUGAGUUGCUUGAGGAGUGGCAAAAAUUUACUGCGCUUCGUGUGUACUGGGCUGGCGUUUGCACAAUGCUGUGAGUUGUGCAGUUUGCGGACUGGUGUUAUUCCUUCUGCCCUCGAUCUUGUGUCCCCUUUACAUACAUGGUGAAAGCCCCAUGGUUUUGGAUGUACCUUCUACCUCUCCUUUGUCUGGCUAUCUGUCUCCUGGUGAUGCAAUCGUAUCUUUGGACGGCAAACGAAUCCAUAAUGAACAAGAUUGGAUGGAGAUCACUGCUCUAAUAGACGAACAGACACUACAAAGUUCAAAUCUUUCAAAAAGUUUUGAAGGUCAUGCAACGGUUCAUCGGUUCAUCGAAUGAAGGGUUACUGUGUCCCUACUUUUAUGGUAGAAGAAAUCAGCAGGACUUUUUUCAUAGACAAUCAAUCUGCCUGCCCUGACGACCUUGCUGAAUUUGUGGCCAUUCAAUGCUUCGAUCCAAGAAAAUCAGAUGAUGUCAAUAUUGAAGAUGGUUUAAGCAGAAGACAGCGUAGGCACUGCUUGAAUGCUAAGGAUGUUGUCAAGCUCAAUAAAUGUGGUGACGGGCGAGUGACAGAAAUAACCGAAGGAAGGCAUUACCUGAAUCAAAACCCUUUGAGGUCAAGCCUCAAUGCCAUAAUUUCUUCUACCUUUAGCUGGAUUUUCUUAUUUGUUAUCUUUUUUCCUUAAUGGCCACUGUGUGGUGAAAAAUUGCACAAGGCUGUUGCCUUUGUUUAACAUUAGUUUGAAAGAAAAUGUAGUGAUUUACUUUCAGCCGCAACUUCAUUCAUUUUUGGCAUCGUCUUUGGGGGGACUACUGCUCCUGUUCCACUACCAGGGUCCAGAAUGCAUGAAACCAGGAAGAAAUUCAUUUCCAGCUUCUGAAGCUUCAGACUUUUCAGAGCAUAAAUGUGGUGGGACUUUUGUUCUUGUUGGUGAUCUGAUCUCGAUGCCGCACUCAGUUAAGUUAACGGCAUAUCAACCUUGUUGGGCAUAUGCUUUUUCUGUGUACAUCUUCCUAAUGCUUCGGGAAAGAGCUUAAUGUGCACGUUCCACGUCUCUCUUACACUAGCCAUCCUCAAUAGUUCGCCGGUAUACUUUUUGGAUGGCGAAUCAAUUUUGGAGGUUGCUCUCUGCCACUUCACAUCAUUGAGCCCAAGGAAAAGGGUAAAAGAUAUGCGAGCCUGUCUUCUAGGAAGGACUCUCACUUCCACACUAGCCUUUAUGAGGAUCUUCUUCAAGUUUUGGUAACCAACAGGUAAGCAGUAUUAUCUGUUGGCCUUCUUGAUUUGUAAACUGCCAUUCUAAGGUUAAGGAGUUACAGGUUUGAGUUACAAUCCUAUAAUUCAUAGAAUGUCCGCUACCCUCCUUUGGACGACGUAUGGAUUGCAGAAAUAUAAGUUGUAACAGACUCUUGUUAUAAAUGCAAGUUCAUCAUAGGUUAGAUGUUCAUAUCAA